GAUGAACGAUGGCGGCGUGCCUAAUACAUGCAAGUCGAGCGAACGGACGAGAAGCUUGCUUCUCUGAUGUUAGCGGCGGACGGGUGAGUAACACGUGGAUAACCUACCUAUAAGACUGGGAUAACUUCGGGAAACCGGAGCUAAUACCGGAUAAUAUUUUGAACCGCAUGGUUCAAAAGUGAAAGACGGUCUUGCUGUCACUUAUAGAUGGAUCCGCGCUGCAUUAGCUAGUUGGUAAGGUAACGGCUUACCAAGGCAACGAUGCAUAGCCGACCUGAGAGGGUGAUCGGCCACACUGGAACUGAGACACGGUCCAGACUCCUACGGGAGGCAGCAGUAGGGAAUCUUCCGCAAUGGGCGAAAGCCUGACGGAGCAAUGCCGCGUGAGUGAUGAAGGUCUUCGGAUCGUAAAACUCUGUUAUUAGGGAAGAACAUAUGUGUAAGUAACUGUGCACAUCUUGACGGUACCUAAUCAGAAAGCCACGGCUAACUACGUG
rnacentral:rRNA from 1 species